GGCGAUAUGGCCGAGCGGUCUAAGGCGCCAGAAUCAGGACAUCCGUGUCUCAUCUGGUCCGAAAGGGCGUGGGUUCGAAUCCCACUGUCGUCA